UGUGUGUCGCGUUUUGGAGUUCGUCCGCUGCCCGCUUUCUCCUUUCAUGUAUAUCACAUACGCCGACUUGUAGGACCUCCUCUCGCAUCUCGUCCCCAUAUGGAGAAAUUUCCGGCACAUAUCGAUAGGAUCUGUUUAUGUAAAAUCAUAAGCACUUCUUAUAUUUGAGUAGAAACAUCUCAUGCUACUCUGAAAUUUCAUGGAAAUUAAUUUGAACCGUUUGAGUGCACUCUAAUCUCAUUCUUUAUCAGUCCAAGUGAGAAGCUGAUCUAGCCCAGCUUGGAUGAGUUUUCCGUUGCUUUUUGUAUAAUAAGUUUAAUGCCUCUACAACUGUAGUGAAAGUUAGGAUUUCUUGGAAGAUUCAUGUAACAUCAUCAGGACUUACGUAUAUGAUGCAGACAUCCAAGGCUUACCGUGCGGUAGAUUCAGUAUGUUAGUAUUUCUUUGUCUCUGUACUUAAGGGCCGUGCUUGCUUGGCUGAUCAUUUUUUUCGUAAAACUAGGCCGUUUGGACAAGGGGAGCCUUAAGGCAGUGGCAAAGUUGUUGCCAUGUGACCAAGAGGUCACAGGUUUAAGUCGAGGAAAUGGCCUCUUGCAAAAAAAUGUGUACAAUGGCGCAUGUGUGGUCCGACCCUUCUCCAUGUAAAGCAGGAGCUUCAUGCACCGGGCUGCCUUUUUUAGGCAGUUUAGAGGCUCGUUCAUACCCGCAGUCAAAGAGGAUGUGUCUUCAGGGCUUCAAUAUUUUAACUUUCUGAGUAUUUCUUCUUACUUAUAGGUAUCUUUCAGUUGCUCCACUAUGUUGAUGUUCAUUUUUUUCGUGUAGUUACUUGGCUGAUCAAAUUUUCGUAAAUAAAGACGUUUACAGGAUCUUUGUGCCUGCAGCUAAAAUGAUGUGGGUUUACUCAAACCAUAUGUAUAUUUUUUUUGAAGCUGGCAAGGCAUGUACUACAUCGAUAAAUGACCUACACUGUGGUUCACUCUGUUGUUGUUCUCAAUCGAUGAGUCGGAGUUUUAGGCUUUCAUCAUCUGCUAGAAGUGAAUGUACUGAAGUUGCAUCCUUCAUCUACUUGUCAAGGUCUUGAGAUACUCCCGAUACGAUGCGACAGUUUGUGUAUCAAAAUUACAGGGGUUUGACAAGAUACAUAAAGGGUGACACUGUAAAGAUGAGCCAGGGAAGUUGUUGAGAAUAUGCUCAAUCAGAUUAGUGUCAGUGGAGAAGGGUACGUCGCAGUGAGCCAUCUUUAUGCUCGACCGAGUUUCUUUCGCAAGUCUAUAGAUUGGUAUCUGGGUACUUUAUUUUUAAAAUGAUUUUGCGCUUACUUGUGGCUGAAUUCGGUGAUUGCGCAAGGAGGUGAAGGUGACCAGGGCCUCGCAACCAGUUUUCUCCGGAUAGGAGAAGGAGCAAAAUGCCAGGAUCUCAUACAUUGCCCUUUUUAUUACUCUUAUAAUUUGUACCUUCAUAAGCAAUGGAGGUUUCACAAUAUGCCACAAUUGCUUGCAGGCUGAAAAUUUCUACACUGCGAGCUAUAGGAGAUGUAGAAUGUGGUGGAAAGGAAAAUAAAGGGUUGCUUGUUAUUUGAGGGAUGCUGUACUUGCAAUGUGCAUCAAAGUCAAAUGAUCUUUUACAUGCCUUGUUGUCCCGUGACAAGCUGCAGAUGUACAUGGAGGGCAUGAGGGGCUUCGACGAUGUGGUGUCCCCGAGGAGCUGUCCCUGGCAUACAACAACAUUGUUGACAAUGUGUACAAGAAUACUAGAGUCUUCUUUCACAAGGUAUUGGAUUCAUUUUCGGAAAACAAGGAACUGCACUCUUGGGGCAGGCGAUAGGC